UACAGAGGGGGCAAGCGUUAUUCGGAAUUAUUGGGCGUAAAGGGCGCGUAGGCGGCCUGGCAAGUGGAAGGUGAAAUCCCUCGGCUUAACCGAGGAACUGCCCUCCAAACUGCUUGGCUUGAGACCGGGAGAGGUGAGUGGAAUUCCCAGUGUAGCGGUGAAAUGCGUAGAUAUUGGGAGGAACACCAGUGGCGAAGGCGGCUCACUGGACCGGUACUGACGCUGAGGCGCGAAAGCGUGGGGAGCGAACAGG
rnacentral:rRNA from 1 species